rnacentral:rRNA from 1 species
UGGGGGAUAUUGCACAAUGGGCGAAAGCCUGAUGCAGCGACGCCGCGUGGGGGAUGAAGGCCUUCGGGUUGUAAACUUCUUUUGCUCUGAACAAGGCGCACCAUGGGGUGUGUUGAGUGUAGGGGUUGAUUAGCGCCGGCUAACUACGUGCCAGCAGCUGCGGUAAUACGUAGGGCGCGAGCGUUGUCCGGAAUUAUUGGGCGUAAAGGGCUUGUAGGUGGCUGGUUGCGUCUGUCGUGAAAGCUCAUGGCUUAACUGUGGGUUUGCGGUGGGUACGGGCUGGCUUGAGUGCAGUAGGGGAGGCUGGAAUUCCUGGUGUAGCGGUGGAAUGCGCAGAUAUCAGGAGGAAUACCGGUGGCGAAGGCGGGUCUCUGGGCUGUUACUGACACUGAGGAGCGAAAGCAUGGGGAGCGAACAGG